rnacentral:lncRNA from 1 species
AUAUACACAUACUUAUAAAGCAAUAUUCUAAAUAUGUGUACACAAUAGUUCAAAAAGUACUCUUACAAUAGUUCAAUUUAUUCUAGCAAUGAAUAUAUUUCACAAAAUCAAAUAUAAUGUAUUCAAACUUUUACAAUAGUUCAAAAACUCUUCAUCAUCCACUUCAAUGAGAUCAAAUUGACUUGUGGCGACCCUUCAAAUUUGAUCACCUCCAUUUCCCUACACAUUUAAAAUGAAAUUAAAAAUCAAAACAACCAUGUACAACAAAUCAGAUUGUAGCAGUUUCAGAUUGCAGAUUGCAGACCGCAUAUUUUUUUAGUUCAGGCAGCACAAUGUAUUCUAGCAGAUUGCAGAUUUUUUGAGUUCAGAUUGCAGCACUGUGUAAAGAUUUUUUGAGUUCAGAUUGCAGGUUCAGGUAUUCUAGCAUAUUGCAGAUCCAGUAUAUGCUUGGAACACAAAAACAUGAAUAUACCUAAGCAUAUAAAUUGAGCUGAUAAAGAUAAACAAAAUGAGGAGAGGUAAACUAAAACAGUUUGUGCCUGUUCAGAUUGCAGAUUCAGGUAUUCUAGCAGAUUUUUUGAGUUAAGAUUUCUUUCUUUAUAAGAAGAUAAAAUGAAACUGUUUAGGACUAAAAUAAUCACUUUUCUACAAUUCUAUGACCAUAAGUGAAGUUUAAGAAGGUAAGAGUAUACACAGACCUACCAUCUCAUGAAAGUUACACCAUAUAAAUAUAUGAAGAAUUAAUAUAAUCCAACUACCACACAUUAAGGACCAAUUUAAUCAUUUUGUCAUUCUAUAAAAAUAAUACAGACCUUUUUAAUAGAAACAUUUAGUGGGCUUAUACAGCUUAAACAGAACAAGAGAGGUAAACUAAAACAGUCUGUGCUCUUAGACACAGAACAUACCUUCAGUUUAUGACGAACGUUGUUCAAGCUCUUUUUCCUCUCCUCUGUGAUGAAGGAACAUAUGAUUUAGAGGAUUUAAGAACUAGAAAUCGAAAACUAUGAUACCUUUCAAUGUCUACUAGUAUGACGAUUAGUCCAUAUUAAC